GAAGCUUUGUUUUUUCUGCGACAAGUUAUACGAAAAACAAGACACGGCUUGCACCACACACCAAAAUCAAUUAUACAAAAUUCUGAAGAAACACACAACCAUUAUUACUUUCCAUUGAGCCAAAGCUUUAUUUUUUUUUGCAAUAAAUUUUCAUUGGGUGGAAGAAAGUCUCAACCUUUAGUCGAAAGAGCAAGGAUCUGAGGAAUCCUGUGGUAGUGCGAUUAUCUACUCCACACCCCCUCACUCCUUCAUGGCACGCCCACCCGCCGCCACCAUCUCCUCCUUCUCCGACGUUGUCGCCUGCAUCUCCUUUCGCUCCGACGUGAAGUCCCGCACCCCGCUCCGCCGCUCCAACGAAAAACCAAUAAUUAUAAUAUUUUUUAUAGGUUCAAAAAAAUAAGAGUGUCCAAUGUAAUAAAAGCAAA
rnacentral:lncRNA from 1 species